AGCUCAGUGUUCCCCACAUCCUCUCCUCCAGUGCCCUCUGAAUUCUUUCAGAUCUAUCACUGCCAAGGGCUACUGAAUAGUUUGGCCAUUUCCCUUGUCU